UACAGAGGGUGCGAGCGUUGUUCGGAAUUACUGGGCGUAAAGCGCGCGCAGGCGGCCCUUUAAGUCCGUCGGUCAAAUGCCGGGGCUCAACCCCGAGCGUGCCGAGGAUACUGGAGGGCUGGAGACACGUAGAGGCAAGCGGAAUUCCGGGUGUAGCGGUGGAAUGCGUAGAGAUCCGGAAGAACACCGGAGGCGAAGGCGGCUUGCUGGGCGUGAUCUGACGCUGAGGCGCGAAAGCGUGGGGAGCGAACAGG
rnacentral:rRNA from 1 species